rnacentral:lncRNA from 1 species
AAAGCCAAAAACACGCGGAUCCUCCUCCUAGGUCGGGUCAUUGCGCGGGUCAAGGGUAUGAAACGACGCCGUUUUGGGCAUCAGAAGCCAAACCCAAAACGACGUUGUUUUGGGUAUUUAUAUAAGUAAAAAAACUUAAAAAAACAUUUGCAACCCCAUUUUAAAAAAAAAAAUUCUUUUUUUUCUCUCAACUCUCUCUCAACCCUUCAAACUUUUUUCCAGAAUCCGGCCAUGUCUCCGGCGCCGGACCACCGCGGCGGCCGUCGAUCGUCGGCGACGGCGCCACCGUUUGCGGUUGCCGAAAAAUUUAAAAAAAAAAUAUUUUUUUGUUUUUUAGCUCCUGGCCUUAAAAAACACCGAUUUUCAUCGGAAUCGGCACCUCCCUCUCAAAAAGGUAUGAUUUUUCCCUUUUGUUUUUAUUUUCCUUCGAAAUAAAUAAAUAAAUAAAAAUAAACCGAAAAAAAACUACCUUUGAAAAAGGUUUGUACUUGAAUCGAUUUUGCUCUAUUCUCUUUUCAUUCAUUCGUGUUUUCCCCCUCAAUAUACAUAGAUUCGGGGUUUUUAUAGCCCAAAAUUUCCUAUUUUCUCUAUUUUUUACAUUGUUUGAGUUGUUGUUGGAUUCUCCUGAUCCUUUUGCAGGUACACACGUGGCGGCUCGUGCGGAGAGGCGGCGCGAACGGAGGCCGGUUCUGAGUUGUGUGGCAGUUGGAGUUGGGGGCGGCGGCUGCUGAUUUCUUUAGGGUUUCUUGCUUUUCUUUGUUUGUUUCUUUUGGGCUAGGGUUUAGUUAGGUUAGUUGGGUUGUUUGGGUAUUGGGCCUGCUGAUGUAAUUUGGGUUUAUUAAUUGGGUUUGUAAAAAAACAGGGCAUUUAUUUUAUUUUGGUCUUUGUAUUUUAAUUGGGUUUAGGCAAAAUAGGCGUAUUACCAUAUCUUUUAACAUGGGUUUGAGAACAAGACAUGAAAAUUAAAUUUAAGUUUUUAAUUUAAGUUGAGUAAAUGGAUUGGAUUGUUUCUUACUUACAUAGAGAUGUGUUUGUUUAUAAUAUAAAUUAGGGUUAAUUGCACCAAUGUCCCCAAACCGUGGUCUAGAUUCUAAAAUGCUCAUCAAACUUAAAAACAUUUUAAUUAAAU